GAUUGCCUCAGUAACGGCGAGUGAAGCGGCAACAGCUCAAAUUUGAAAUCUGGCCUCUUCGGGGCCCGAGUUGUAAUUUGUAGAGGAUGUUUCGGGUACCGCCUCGGUUUAAAUUUCUUGGAACAGAAUGUCAUAGAGGGUGAGAAUCCCGUCUUGGACCGGCGGUAGGGCCCAUGUGAAACUCCUUCGACGAGUCGAGUUGUUUGGGAAUGCAGCUCAAAAUGGGUGGUAAAUUUCAUCUAAAGCUAAAUAUUGGCCAGAGACCGAUAGCGCACAAGUAGAGUGAUCGAAAGAUGAAAAGAACUUUGAAAAGAGAGUUAAACAGUAUGUGAAAUUGUUGAAAGGGAAGCGCUGGCAACCAGACUUGAGCGCGGCGGUUCCCCCUUCCUUUUGGUUGGGUUACUCCGCCGUGUCCAGGCCAACAUCGGUUCUGGGGGUCGGUCAAAGGCCCGGGGAAUGUAUCUACUCCUUCGGGGGUAGACUUAUAGCCCCGGGUGUCAUGCGACCACCCGGGACCGAGGAACGCGCUUCGGCUCGGAUGUUGGCGUAAUGGUUGUCAGCGACCCGUCUUGAAACACGGACCAAGGAGUCUAACAUCUAUGCGAGUGUUUGGGUGUCAAACCCGGAACGCGGAAUGAAAGUGAACGGAGGUAGGAAGCCUUUGGGCUGCACUAUCGACCGAUCCUGAUGUCUUCGGAUGGAUUUGAGUAAGAGCAUAGCUGUUGGGACCCGAAAGAUGGUGAACUAUGCCUGAAUAGGGUGAAGCCAGAGGAAACUCUGGUGGAGGCUCGCAGCGGUUCUGACGUGCAAAUCGAUCGUCAAAUUUGGGUAUAGGGGCGAAAGACUAAUCGAACCAUCUGGUAGCUGGUUCCUGCCGAAGUUUCCCUCAGGAUAGCAGUAACGAAAUCAGUUUUAUGAGGUAAAGCGAAUGAUUAGAGGCCUUGGGGUUGAAACAACCUUAACCUAUUCUCAAACUUUAAAUAUGUAAGAAGCCCUUGUUGCUUAAUUGAACGUGGGCAUUUGAAUGUAUCGUUACUAGUGGGCCAUUUUUGGUAAGCAGAACUGGCGAUGCGGGAUGAACCGAACGUGAGGUUAAGGUGCCGGAAUGCACGCUCAUCAGACACCACAAAAGGUGUCAAUGCAUCUAGACAGCCGGACGGUGGCCAUGGAAGUCGGAAUCCGCUUAGGAGUGUGUAACAACUCACCGGCCGAAUGCAUUGGCCCUGAAAAUGGAUGGCGCUUAAGCGUGCUACCUAUACCUCGCCGUUAGGGUUGACAUGAUGCCCUAACGAGUAGGCAGGCGUGGAGGUCCGUGACGAAGC
rnacentral:rRNA from 1 species